GACGAACGCUGGCGGCGUGCCUAAUACAUGCAAGUCGAACGCAUUUUCUUUCACCGUAGCUUGCUACACCGAAAGAAAGUGAGUGGCGAACGGGUGAGUAACACGUGGGUAACCUGCCCAUCAGCGGGGGAUAACACUUGGAAACAGGUGCUAAUACCGCAUAAUUCCAUUUACCGCAUGGUAGAUGGAUGAAAGGCGCUUUUGCGUCACUGAUGGAUGGACCCGCGGUGCAUUAGCUAGUUGGUGGGGUAACGGCCUACCAAGGCUGCGAUGCAUAGCCGACCUGAGAGGGUGAUCGGCCACACUGGGACUGAGACACGGCCCAGACUCCUACGGGAGGCAGCAGUAGGGAAUCUUCGGCAAUGGACGCAAGUCUGACCGAGCAACGCCGCGGGAGUGAAGAAGGUUUUCGGAUUGUAAAACUCUGUUGUUAGAGAAGAACAAGGAUGAGAGUGGAAAGUUCAUCCCUUGACGGUAUCUAACCAGAAAGCCACGGCUAACUACGUG
rnacentral:rRNA from 1 species